GUCUACGGCCUGCCACCCUGAACAAGCCCAAUGUCUGAUCUUGGAAGCUAAGCAGGGUUGGGCCUGGUUAGUACUUGGAUAUGAGACCACGUAGGAAGACCAGAUGCUAUAGGGA
rnacentral:rRNA from 1 species